UCCUUAUAAAAAUUAUAAUGUUUUUAACUUGUCGUCAGCAACAUAAAUCCAUCGUAGCAGUCGUUUAAAUUUUUUCGCAGCAAUUGCAACGCUUUCACGCUGACAAAAGGAAAAGCUAAACCACAACAAGCGGGAUUUAAGUGGCAACCAGCAACAGCGCGCUCGAGUGAAAGACCACAAUUGCAAAAGCAAAAGCAGGGGGUUUCAGUGUCACCAACAACAAGUGGAUGAUCUUGCGAAAACCACAUCAACAAUACACAAAUUAAAAAGAUUCGGAAGGUGUUGAAAACAUUGCAACACUGUGAGUACACUCAGCCCGCACAAUUUGCUCCCGCAACUGCCAGAACGUGGUUUACCUACCCGAAAAAUAAAAUUAAAGCAAAACUACAACAACGAUUAAAUGCAAAUAUUAAAAAUAAAUAAAUUAGUACAAUUGUAGUUACUCAUAA